AUUGGGUUUAAAGGGAGCGUAGGCGGAUUAUUAAGUCAGUGGUGAAAGACGGUGGCUCAACCAUCGUUAGCCAUUGAAACUGGUAGUCUUGAGUGCAGACAGGGAUGCUGGAACUCGUGGUGUAGCGGUGAAAUGCUUAGAUAUCACGAUGAACUCCGAUCGCGAAGGCAGGUGUCCGGGCUGCAACUGACGCUGAGGCUCGAAAGUGUGGGUAUCAAACAGGAUUAGAUACCCUGGUAGUCCACACAGUAAACGAUGUAUACUCGCGGUUUGCGAUACAAUGUAAGCCGCCAAGCGAAAGCAUUAAGUAUACCACCUGGGGAGUACGCCGGCAACGGUGAAACUCAAAGGAAUUGACGGGGGCCCGCACAAGCGGAGGAACAUGUGGUUUAAUUCGAUGAUACGCGAGGAACCUUACCCGGGCUUGAACUAGGAGUGACAGAUUUAGAGAUAGAUCUUUCUUCGGACACUCUUGGAGGUGCUGCAUGGUUGUCGUCAGCUCGUGUCGUGAGAAG
rnacentral:rRNA from 1 species